rnacentral:rRNA from 1 species
GACGAACGCUGGCGGCGUGCCUAAUACAUGCAAGUCGAGCGAGACUCUUCGGAGUCUAGCGGCGGACGGGUGAGUAACACGUGGGCAACCUGCCUGUAAGACUGGGAUAACACCGGGAAACCGGUGCUGAUACCGGAUAAUCCUUUUCCUCUCAUGAGGAAAAGCUGAAAGUCGGUUUCGGCUGACCCUUACAGAUGGGCCCGCGGCGCAUUAGCUAGUUGGUGAGGUAACGGCUCACCAAGGCGACGAUGCGUAGCCGACCUGAGAGGGUGAUCGGACACACGGGGACUGAGACACGGCCCAGACUCCUACGGGAGGGAGCAGUAGGGAAUCUUCCACAAUGGACGAAAGUCCGAUGGAGCAACGCCGCGUGAGCGAUGAAGGCCUUCGGGUCGUAAAGCUCUGUUGUUAGGGAAGAACAAGUACCGGAGUAACUGCCGGUACCUUGACGGUACCUAACCAGAAAGCCACGGCUAACUACGUGCCAGCAGCCGCCGUAAUAC